AAACCAAUGGAAUUUAAAUUUCGUAAAGCAUCUAUAUUUUGCCAUUCUGAAUUUUUGGAAAACUGCAGUAUGACACUUGGAGCGAAUAAUGAUACAUGGGAUCUUAAGAAAACAAGAAACUAAUUUCAAAGAAAUGUUUACUUAUGAAUUUGAAAUGUGCAAAGUUAUGGAAGGAUUUUUAAGCAAAACCAUAGCCAGACCAUGGGUGUUGAAUAUUAAAAAGUUUAGCAAUUUACCAAUGAAGUGUCCGUUUGUUAAGGGUGACUAUUAUAUCAGAAGGUUCAAAGUUGAUGAACGAAGUUUUCCUAAAAUUCUUUUUUUUAAUGGCAUUUAUAUAGCAAAUACACAUUUCAUUAUUAAAAAUGCAUCAAAAAGUACUAUCAUUGCGAAGUCUUCGGUUGAAGCAGAGAUUACGAAUUAAAUGAAUAAAUGAAACUUUUUAUUUUUCUAAAAAAUUUGAAUCUCUUAUAUAAAAUAUUGUAAAAUGGUUUUUUAAAAAUAGAGAAAAAAAGCUACAUGAUUUUUCUUCU